UGCUCUUCCUUUCGAAAGAGUACUCUAUGCCCCUUGGAAGGGUACUUUUGUGCUCUUCCCUUCCAAAGAGUACUCUUCUGCCCUUCCUUUCAUAAGAGUACUCUUUUGCCUUUCCCUUUAGAAGAGUAUUGCCCUUGGAAGGGUAUUCUUGUGCCCUUCACAAAGGCUUUCUUGUGCCUUUUGGAAAGGUACUCUUGCUCUUGUAAAGCACUUUCAUUCUCAGAUGAGUAUACCCAGUAAGUCUCUAAGCCACCACGGGGGGUCUUCAGUGAGGAUCCUUUGACGCUCAAGUUAGAAAGGGUAAUAUUUUAGUGGUGAUAGAGUGUAGAGAGAGUGGAGAGAUAAUGUGAAAGGAGAAUAUGACUCUUCGUUCUCCUUACAUGGCUCUAUUUACUAUUUAUAGAGAAAACGA
rnacentral:misc_RNA from 1 species